rnacentral:rRNA from 1 species
GACGAACGCUGGCGGCGUGCUUAACACAUGCAAGUCGAGCGGAAAGGCCCUUUCGGGGGUACUCGAGCGGCGAACGGGUGAGUAACACGUGAGUAAUCUGCCCUGGACUCUGGGAUAGCCACCGGAAACGGUGAUUAAUACCGGAUACAACCACUAUCCGCAUGGGGUGGUGGUGGAAAGUUUUUUCGGUCCAGGAUGUGCCCGCGGCCGAUCAGCUGGGUGGUGAGGUAAUGGUUCACCAAGGCUUUGGCGGGUAGUCGUCCUGAGAGGGUGACCGGUCACACUGGGACUGAGACACGGCCCAGACUCCUACGGGAGGCAGCAGUGGGGAAUAUUGGACAAUGGGCGGAAGCCUGAUCCAGCAACGCCGCGUGAGGGAUGACGGCCUUCGGGUUGUAAACCUCUUUCAGUACCGACGAAGCGCAAGUGACGGUAGGUACAGAAGAAGGACCGGCCAACUACGUGCCAGCCGCCGCUGUAACAC